GCCGCAGCGAUAGCUCAAUGGAUAAAGCGCCAGGUGAGAAAAUGGCGAUUACCCGAGAGCUAUUAUCCGCGCGGGUUCGAACCCCCGCCUGUGGCA